rnacentral:rRNA from 1 species
CGCACCUUGCGCUCCUUGGUAUUCCGAGGAGCAUGCCUGUUUGAGUGUCAUUAAUAUAUCAACCUCUUCAGCUUUUGCUUGUUGAGUGUUGGAUGUGGGGGCUUUUUGCUGGUCUUUUUAAAGAAGUCAGCUCCCCUAAAAUUUAUUAGCGGAACAAUUUGUUGACCGUUCAUUGGUGUGAUAAUUAUCUACGCUAUUAACGUGAGGCAGUUCAGCUUCUAACAGUCCAUUGACUUGGACAGUUUUUCAUUAAUGUGACCUCAAAUCAGGUAGGACUACCCGCUGAACUUAAGCAUAUCAAUAAGCGGAGG